UGGGGAAUAUUGCACAAUGGGGUAAACCCUGAUGCAGCGACGCCGCGUGAACGAAGAAGGUAUUCGUAUCGUAAAGUUCUGUCCUAUGGGAAGAUAAUGACAGUACCAUAGAAGAAAGCUCCGGCUAAAUACGUGCCAGCAGCCGCGGUAAUACGUAUGGAGCGAGCGUUGUCCGGAAUUAUUGGGCGUAAAGGGUACGCAGGCGGUUUAAUAAGUCGAAUGUUAAAGAUCGGGGCUCAACCCCGUAAAGCAUUGGAAACUGAUAAACUUGAGUAGUGGAGAGGAAAGUGGAAUUCCUAGAGUAGUGGUGAAAUACGUAGAUAUUAGGAGGAAUACCAGUAGCGAAGGCGACAUUCUGGACACAAACUGACGCUGAGGUACGAAAGCGUGGGGAGCAAACAGG
rnacentral:rRNA from 1 species